rnacentral:misc_RNA from 1 species
AAGUCGUAACAAGGUUUCCGUAGGUGAACCUGCGGAAGGAUCAUUGAUGAACACGGCCUCGGGAUGGCCUAAAACCCGACACACCCACACCUGUGAACCUGGCGUCCCUCGGGGCGUCGAAAAAACCUUUACACCGUAGUGUCAGUCAUGAACGUGAAACAGAAAUCAAACAAAACUUUCAACAACGGAUCUCUUGGCUCUC